UUUCAUCGAACUUAAGGGAAAAAGUUGUGAUGAAAAUAAUGAAGCUAGGACUAGUGAAGCUUAAUUCGAGUAAAGUGACGGAGUUGGUCGAGUCAUCGACAAGGCUUUCACCCAUAGAAGAGGUGAGUUUGGCAUCAGAUUUAGAAGAAGAAGUCGCGAUGCAAUCCUUGAAGCUAGGAUCAAUGAGGCUCAUUUCUGUUGACACAUCAGAGGGACUACCACCUAUGAGAAAGG
rnacentral:lncRNA from 1 species